GACGAACGCUGGCGGCGUGCCUAACACAUGCAAGUCGAGCGACGAACCAGGGCUUGCCCUGGGGCGAAGCCGCGAACGGGUGGGUAACACGCGGGUAACCUACCUCGCUAACCGAGAGAGCUCGCGGAAACUCAGGCUAACUCCGGACGUACAAUCUGUCGUUCGGUUCAGUGCGUAAGUGAAACUUGGUCCUCCGUACCGUGAGAGGCCGGCGGGCCAUUCGUUUGUUGGUGGGGUAACGGAUGACCAAGCCCGCGAUGGAUAGCUGGUCUGCGAGGGCGAUCAGCCACACGGGGACUGAGACACGGCCCAGACUCCUACGGGAGGCAGCAGUGGGGAAUCUUACGCAAUGCGCGAAAGCGUGACGCAGCAACGCCGCGUGAGGGAUGAAGGCCUUCGGGUUGUAAAACGCUGUCAGGAGGGAGGAAGGUAAGGCGGUGUAUAGGGGAACAUACUGACGGUACCUGCACAAGAAGCCCCGGCUAACUACGUG
rnacentral:rRNA from 1 species